rnacentral:rRNA from 1 species
UACGAAGGGGGCUAGCGUUGCUCGGAAUUACUGGGCGUAAAGGGCGCGUAGGCGGCCAGAUUAGUCAGGCGUGAAAUUCCUGGGCUCAACCUAGGGACUGCGCUUGAUACGGUUUGGCUUGAGGGCAGGAGAGGCUCGCGGAAUUCCCAGUGUAGAGGUGAAAUUCGUAGAUAUUGGGAAGAACACCGGUGGCGAAGGCGGCGAGCUGGCCUGUUACUGACGCUGAGGCGCGACAGCGUGGGGAGCAAACAGG